GGCUUCAUAAGGAUAAAAUCUGGAAUGUUUUGAGAAGAAGAAGAGGUCAUGGAGGAUAUGGAAUCAGGGCCAAUGAAGGGGCAGUGCCAUCCAGACCACAGCUUUAUUCCCUGGAGGGUACUCAGGUACUCCAUAUUCCAAAGGCUCUGAGGAGAAUGAGCUUCUUAACCUCCUUAAUCCUCUGGAAAGUCACAUCCAGCAUGGGUCCAGAUCAGAGUUGCAUCAGAAUUCAGAAGGUUUAUGUAAUAGCUAGAACCCAGAAGGAUCUUUGAUUUCCAGUGUGAGUAGCUGCAGAAUUCUCAUUGUUCAAAUGGGUAGUGUCUUUUACAGUUGGGAAGCUGUCUGCUUCUGCACCUUUGUUCAGUUUGUACCCAGUAGCUGGAGCAUCUUCUAAUUUGUCUUUGUCCAGUUGUCUGUAUGGUGCAAGACCUAUUUGCCGCGAAGUUUCUUUUUUUCUUGCAGAAGAUUUACUAGGAUUCAUUAAGAUACAGAUCAACUGGUUGUUUGGGCAUCCACGGACAAGAUUUCUUUUUUCUGUUAAGGGAAAUCAACAUUUUCCACUAAUGGCAAGACAUGUUGCCAACAGCUGUGGAGAGAUGUGAUGUGAUCUUCUCAAUGAACAAUCUAAGAGCCACUGAUUGCUUAUCAACAGGAAUUUCACCACUGAAGAAAGUAACAUAGUCUUCACCUCCUAACAAAUGAAAGUUAUUAAUGUUUCCUUGUGAGACACACUGGAUCCCCUCAACUGCAGCAUGGAUAAGAAGACAUUUGUUACAAGAAUGCAGGGUAAAGGAAGACUUGCAGUCGGUGAUCUGUGCGGGUAGACAGAGGGCAUGGAUCAGCCCCCCAGCCUUGUGUCUGAGUGCAUCCCAUCAUCCACUCGGUGCACAGAUCACUUUCAUUUCUUUGAAUAGACUCCCUAGUCUCUCCUGCUUUGCUUGUGCUCCUGUUGUCACAGUUGCUUCGAAUGCUUUCCCUCACAUUCUGCCUGUUGAAACUACUCCUCAGUCAUCUCACUCUGCAUGUCUACGCUAGAACUGAUCUUAAUCCAACUUGUGUUGCUGUCACUUGCAUAUGUGUCUUUCCUUCACACCACACUCUGAGUCUCUUGAAGAUCUGUUUUUCUUACAUGCUUCAUUGAUGUUGAGGGCAACAACCACAUUCGCAUGCUUCUGAGUCACUUGGGAACAAAAGCAAGGACUGGAUUCUAAUAUCAAAAACCAAUAUUAGGAAGAAAAUUCCUCUCUGAGGAACUCCUCCUAGGAGAUCCCUCAUCUUGAAAAUAUGGAAAAUAAUCAUCCUUACCACACAAGGUUGCUGUGCGUUUAGAUGAAUUAGUGAAUGUAAGAACCUGAAAACAGUACCGGCCUCUGAGUAAGUACUCUGUAUAUUUUGUCCAUUAGUACUAUCACUACCUUUUCUCUCAUACCUCUCUCCCCAGGAACUGCCUUAGGAUUUUCCCACCAUUCAUUAGAGACCAAAUGGCCUUCAUAAAUGCUCUGGCUACUGAUUCUGAGUUUUAUAUGGACUGCAAAGCGGCUCCUCAUGCUGUUUUUAAGUUCCUUGACCUCCGUAAGCUCUUUUUAGUGAUGCUCAGAAGCUGGAACAGUUGAGUUUCAGAUAUAGAUUGGAGAGCUUCCUUACGAACUCCAAUAAAAUAGCUCAGAGUUUGGCUCUCACUUUUAAAUACUAUGCAGAUGGCGCUGAACCCCAGCCAAACUGGCGGCAACUUGAUUUCCUCUGGUGAGUGCUGGUGGGGUGUCUACAGGAUGGCAUUCAUUCUCAUCUCUUGUCCCCUUUCUCUCUUUCUCUGUCUUUCCCCUCCCCCCACAUCUCUACUCCUUACACACACACACACACACACACACACACACACACACACACACCGUAUUUUUCCUUUAAGCCUGAGUAUUUUUUAUAAUGACAUGGCCAGCAAUAAUUAAUAAAGUCAUUGGUUUCCUGCCUGAACUUGUACUUAUGUUAGCUAUUUCAACGUGUGGAAAUUUUCACUUCAGCGCCAGAUCAAUAGCGUCCCCUUUGUGAUUCCCCACUGCCAGGAGAGAAAAUGUUCGCAAAAGGAGAUCUAAGGAGCUUCCUACCAAUUUAGAAGAGACAGAAGAAAGGACACUCUGUGCCAGCUGUGAAAGAAGCUCUUAUAUGCUGAUAGGAAUGUUAUGAAAUAUCUGUAAAUUUGGAGCUUGUUUUCUUGAGCUGUAAAACCUAACUGCAUGGAGUGGAUUUUUGAACACUCUUAAAAUAAACAUAAACUAAGCUUUGAUAAAGGGACCCUUUUUGGGGGUUUGAUUUACUGUUAUAACAGUAUAAUAUUUGUAUAUGUAAAAAUGUCAAAAAGUCCAAGAAAACAGUAAUUGAAUAAACUAGAUAUAAAUGUGA